CCCCCCGUAGCUCAGGGGAUAGAGCACCGGUUUCCUAAACCGCGCGCGGAGGUUCGAAUCCUCCCGGGGGGUCCA
rnacentral:tRNA from 1 species